rnacentral:tRNA from 52 species
CCCCUGCCUUACCGCUUGGCCAUGCCGCC